UCAAUUCAGGGGAGCGGCGUGAGCAUCCGCUGUCAGCCCUAGCUUCUGCCAACCUAGCAGUUCAAAAACAUGCAAAUGUGAGUAGAUCAAUAGGUACCGCUCCGGCGGGAAGGUAACGGCGCUCCAUGCAGUCAUGCCGGCCACAUGACCUUGGAGGUGUCUAUGGACAACGCUGGCUCUUCGGCUUAGAAAUGGUGAUGAGCACCACACCUCAGAGUCAGACAUGACUGGACUUAAUGUCAGGGGACAACCUUUACCAUUACUUUUCUAGGAGGCUUCUCUCAUGUCCCAGCACAGGAAGCUAGAGCAGACAGAUGGGAGCUCAACCCACUCCCUGGAUUUGAACCACCAACCUUUUGGUCAGCAGUCCUGCCGGCACAAGGGUUUAAACCAGAGGUCCUCAAACUAAGGCCCAGGGGCCGGAUACGGCCUUCUAAGGUCAUUUACCUGGCCUUCUUUCAGGGUCAACCUAAGUCUGAAACAACUUGAAAACACACAACAACAACAACAACAACAACAACAACAACAAUUCUAUCCCAUCAGCCAAAAGCAGGUCCACACUUCCCAUUGAAAUACUGAUAAGUUUAUAUUUGUUAAAAUUGUUCUUCAUUUUAAUUAUUGUGUUGUUUUCAAGUGUUUUUUGCACUACAAAUAAGAUAUGUGCAUUGUGCAUAGGAAUUCAUUCUUCUUCUUUUUUUCAAAUUAUAAUCCGGCCCUCCAAAAGUUUGAGGGUCUGUGACCUGGCCCUCUGUUUAAAACGUUUGAGUACCCCUGGUUUAAACCAUUGCACCACCAGAGGCUCCCAGUAAAACCAUUGUUAUUUGAGUAUUCCAUCACGUAAAAUAAUAAAUUCAAAGAUCUUAUCGCACCUUUGAUACUAACUGAGAAAAAGAAAUUCUCAUGAGGCUGGAGCGAUAACUAGAGUUGUAAUGUGUUAUGUUUUCAACACGCUCAAUAUGUUCAACAGUGACAAUGGUUUCCUGGUUCGCCACACAUGUUAUAGCACUAGUGAACACCUUGGCCACAUUGGGGCUUUUUUGGCCAGCUUUUCACAUUUCCUUUCUGGUUCGCAGCCAGCACCGCUCUACAUCCCAAUUUUUCCCUUCACCAUUCUUUAGGUUACAUACUCAACCUGGUUUUAUCUUUCCCCUCGCCUUUGUCCCCUAAGGACCAUUGUGUGUGUGUGACUUCAUCGCCAUACCCACAAGUUUUGCAUUUCCACUGCUAUUCCCAUGUACCACCUGCUCCUUCACAGCUCUAUAGGUCUGUCCCAAGGCACUUCACUCCAUGCAUCUAAAGUAGACGUCCAUCUGUGAAAGCUUAUACUUCCAGCUUCUCUCAAUUAGUCUCAAAGGUGCUACAAGACCCGUUUGCAUAUUGAUAGUUUAGAUGAGUAUUGCUAUGUCUUAAAAAAUAAAAUGCCUAAACUCAGAAGGAAGAGAUCUAGUCCUGUCUUGUCCUUAACAUGCUAGAUUAUCUGCUUUGAACUGGAUUAUAUGGCAGUGUAGACUCAUAUAAUCCAGUUCAAAGCAGAUAAUGUGGAUUAUCUGCUUUGAUAAUCUGGAUUGUGUGACAGUGUAGAAGGGGACUCAGAGUCCCUGACUGCUGUGGCUUUUCUGGCAAUUGUAGUUCAAAACCAAAACUUCUCAAAGUUCAUGGACACUAAUUUCAGGGAAUAAAAAUUACACUUUACUCACCCUUCAUGGAGUUCAGGAAUAAAUUGUGAAAAAUGAGAACAAGAAGUAAGUGUGAAAGGAAAGGGAUUUUGCUGUCCCCAUAUGCUGGUCAAAUUCAUCCAACCUUUCACGUGUAUAACACUCCCAUAAAUUUACAAAUAAGGGGCAAAAUGUCUGUUUUACAUACGGAAUACAUGACUUACAAAGCUUUAAAAUAUUUGUAUCACAACGUAGAAUUUUAAAAAUCUUACUCUUGUUUGUAAUGUACUAAUGUUUCCUAUUGCACCUCAGAAACCUUGGUAUAUAAGUGGGAUGCCUUCUCAAUGCUUGCUCCUGUUUCCUUCUUUACUAAACAUUUGAUUAUUGGAUCUAAUAGAGUCCCUCCCUAUCAUUGGUUUGUCACAACCUUCUUUUUAAUGUAGGUUUUUUUUGUCUGUAAAUUUUAUAUUGACUGAAGUAAGAGGUUGGGGAUUUUUUUGUGUAUACAUUUAAACUUAAAAUGGAAAAAAAAACUACAUUACUUUUGUUUCUCUGCUUACACCGAGCGGUAGAAAGAAAUUUGUAUUGUUAAAUAAUAAUAAUAAAUCAAUUAGUUGUUAAAUCAUAA